AUCGCGACUGUUGGAGAUGGAGAGGCAAAGAAGAAAGCUCUCCGGUGCCCAAAACAGAAAACGGAAGAGAGAGCGGGAUAAAAAUGUAGUUGGGAUGAAACAAAGGUUUACAAAAUGGUUUAAAGACAGUCGCUGUGAGGAUGGAGAGAAAGAAGAGAGGAAGAGAGACAAAGAAUCAGGACAGACAGGAAGAACACAGACAAGGUGUGAAGGAGACAGACAUGAGGUCGAUGAUGGUAUCUGCUAUAGAGGAGACCAGUGAUGACAUCAGUGCAGACAGACCUGGCAAGUCAAUCAGCACAGGGAAGAAUGUGGAACAGGGAGUUGCAGAUGAGGGAGAGGAGCAGAGAGGUCCAGAUGAUGAUGAAGAGAGAAAGAAACAGACAGAUGCAGCAGAGAGUGCUGGUGCAAGGCCUUACUCAGAAGAUCCAGCUGAAUGGCCUUCACCCCAUGAAAUAGGGAGCUCAUUUAGGCAGUACAUGGUUGAGAAUGGCCCACAGAAAUGUUCUGAUGGGCCAUAUCCAAG